UCAUUUACUGCAUUCGCUUUAAAUCGCUUCAUGAAAGUUUAUGAGUAGUGACAACAAAUACGGUGAAAAUAAAGCAUUAAUUUAAUUUUGUUGUUUAAUUAUAAUUGAAAAAUUCAGUUGAAAAAAAAAUCAAGAUGAAAUAUACUAUCUCUGUUUUUGUCGUCGCUCUGCUCUUCUUGACUACAAUUCAAGGCGGAUUGGGUUUUGUAGAUUUUAACGGAAGAACAUGUGUCCAAGGAAAAACUUUCAAUGACGGUUGUAAUCAGUGUGCUUGUGACGGAGGGACAAGUGUUAUUUGUACUGAAAGGGCAUGUUUAGGACCUAAUGGAGAAAAUUUGCCACAGACGCCAAUACCACCGCCGGAAGACUUCUGGGCUCACUAAAUAUUUCCAUUUGACUUUUGUAUUUUGUUAAACGAACACAUUUUAAUGAAAAUUAUAAAAUCAUUUGAUACUCGUAUUUGCGUAAAUGCCGUAAAUUAAUGUUGAAAAAUUAUGUCUAACGAUAAGACAAAAAUGUGAUUGACAAGAUGGAUCAUGUAUAGAAAGAAAUCAAUAAAUAUUUAUUGUGGCGUUUUUUAAUCAAAA